UUCUGUUCGGAUCGAUAACUCUCUGGCGUGAUAAAAAGGACCGUACGUUGAUAGCUUCUCUUUACAAAAAGCAAAAUUGUCCCAUGCAUGAAUGACGGGCCGACUCUCUUCUUCUACAUCUAUUUUUUUUUUCAUUUAUUAGUACUCUUUAAUCCCUUACUAAACAUCAUCGAAUUCUUAUCUUUCAUCACCUGUUUUUGCGCAUGUCUUUUCUCAAUUAAUAAGUAGGAAUGAAUCGAGAGUGACAGUCACUCCUUAAAAUUUUAAGGAACUCGCCCCAGCACCACCGACGACGGUUUUUGUCCCUCGUGGGAUAUGAGAAGCUGACGGGGAAAUUGGGGAUUGGGAACAGGUCAGUGAUGAAGCGUAUAGGUGGCGAGUGGAAAUGGUGUCUUCGUCUUCCCCAGUCCAUCCGUCCGUCCAUCCAUCCAUCCAUCAGUGCUCACAUGAUCAUCUGAUGAUUAUGCUGCUGCCUGCUGCCGCUGCUGCUCUGAUCUUAUCCAAACAAAGAGACAAAGGAGCUUCCCAUAACGAGGUGGGGGGUCGGUGGUCUCAUUCCGACUUAGUCAAUUAUUUCAACUUUUAUUCCGAUAAGUAAUGACGAUUUUAUCAUUGCUUAAUCAAGACGAUUACGAAAAAUAUAUAUACAAAGUCAAAAACAUCAAUCGGCUGAUGACAAUAUAUAUAA